GGCUUCGUAGCUCGGCUGGUAGAGAGUUUUUGGAGCGUUUGGGCAUGGUGUUUUUGUCGCUGGUUCGAAUCCAGCCGAAGUCC